rnacentral:rRNA from 1 species
UAUUUGAUAGUACCUUACUACAUGGAUACCUGUGGUAAUUCUAGAGCUAAUACAUGCUAAAAACCUCGACUUCGGAAGGGGUGUAUUUAUUAGAUAAAAAACCAACGCCCUUCGGGGCUCCUUGGUGAAUCAUAAUAACUAAGCGAAUCGCAUGGCCUUGCGCCGGCGAUGGUUCAUUCAAAUUUCUGCCCUAUCAACUUUCGAUGGUAGGAUAGUGGCCUACCAUGGUGGCAACGGGUAACGGGGAAUUAGGGUUCGAUUCCGGAGAGGGAGCCUGAGAAACGGCUACCACAUCCAAGGAAGGCAGCAGGCGCGCAAAUUACCCAAUCCCGACACGGGGAGGUAGUGACAAUAAAUACUGAUACGGGGCUCUUUUGGGUCUCGUAAUUGGAAUGAGUACAAUUUAAAUCCCUUAACGAGGAACAAUUGGAGGGCAAGUCUGGUGCCAGCAGCCGCGGUAAUUCCAGCUCCAAUAGCGUAUAUUAAAGUUGUUGCAGUUAAAAAGCUCGUAGUUGAACCUUGGGUCUGGCUGGCCGGUCCGCCUCACCGCGAGUACUGGUCCGGCUGGACCUUUCCUUCUGGGGAACCUCAUGGCCUUCACUGGCUGUGGGGGGAACCAGGACUUUUACUGUGAAAAAAUUAGAGUGUUCAAAGCAGGCCUUUGCUCGAAUACAUUAGCAUGGAAUAAUAGAAUAGGACGUGCGGUUCUAUUUUGUUGGUUUCUAGGACCGCCGUAAUGAUUAAUAGGGAUAGUCGGGGGCGUCAGUAUUCAGCUGUCAGAGGUGAAAUUCUUGGAUUUGCUGAAGACUAACUACUGCGAAAGCAUUCGCCAAGGAUGUUUUCAUUAAUCAGGGAACGAAAGUUAGGGGAUCGAAGACGAUCAGAUACCGUCGUAGUCUUAACCAUAAACUAUGCCGACUAGGGAUCGGGCGGUGUUUCUAUAA